rnacentral:misc_RNA from 1 species
CAACCCUUAAGCCUGGCUUAGUAUUGGGAACCUACGUGCGACGGCUACCCUGUAGCCGCCCCGUAGCUCCUUAAAAACAACGGCGGAGACGUGGAGUCCUCUAAGCUUAGUAACUUUUGUCUAGCUUCUGAAGGCCCCGCGGCCCCUGCCGUAAAACCCCUCUCCGGAGGAAUUUUUCUAGU